rnacentral:lncRNA from 1 species
GCUCGAUGAAAUUGCGGCGACCAGCGCGUUGAAUAUGCAAAGAAUAUAUAUGGAAAGGAAAAUAAAUCGUGCGGCUAACGUGAAAGAGAAGUGCGCUCGCUCACUCGUUUGCCUAUAAUAUGAACGGCGGGCAGCGCCGUCGGCUGAGAGGUGCGCGUACAUACAUGUUGACAUUAGUGUGUGUGCGUGUGUGUAUGGCGACAUAUAUAAAUGAGAGCAACAAAAUCAAAAAGAAUUCCAAUCAAAACAAACAAAGACGAACAACAGACGUGCCGAAGGCGAAGAAACGACCCGCAAUCAGAGGCAGGGAAGUACUGGAACGAGAAUUGCUCAAGUGAACUCAAGUGGUGAGAUAAACGAUGAAGACGCGGAUUGUCACGAUGCAUGCGCGCGGGGAAAUAGUCAAACAUUCGAUGGCGUUGGUAGUAUGCGGCAGUUCUUGGGUGGCGACACUGCCAAGCAUUAAGAAAUCGCAAAUAAAUAAGUAAAAAAACGAAAUCAGAUCAAAUCUAUGGAGUGCCAAUCAAUGUCGAUCGGUGGGGACGGAGGCAUUAGUGCGAGCACGCGCUAUUUGUUUUUAUAUAUUUUGUGCCUAGAACAUUUAAGUUUUUUCUGUUCCUCUUUAUCACUAUGGCAUUUGCACUUUGCGUCGCUGUUUUGAUGACACACUCAAGAGCAGUGAUUGCAGGCCAUUAAGUCAGAUAGCUUGAAGGUUCAAUUCCCCGGCAAUGAAGAGAUACUUAUGUAUACUAACAUUUACAUAGUGUGUAAUGUAUAAUACUGUUUUUCAUAUCAAUCUAUAUAGUAUGUAUGUACAUAUAUAUGGUAUAUGUGUAUUUGUAUGUACAUAUGGAUAUGUAGUUAUCAUUAAUAAAAAUAUUUAUUCAUUUAUAUA